AUGGAGGAUGUAAGUCAGGAUUCUAAUGCUCCGGGAGCAUUCUUCCUAAGUCAGCAGGCCCUACAUUCAUCAAGCAGUGCUGAUCCUCAUUUGAUACAAGACAACAUUCAAUCUUCUAAUGCUCAGGAUUCCAGCUCUGUAAUCAGUACACAACCUACCAGCAUCAAUACACAAGACCAUCUCAAAACUGAACAUGAUGAUAAGGACAAAUGUACAGCUGAGGAUGAAAGGCCUCAAUCAUCAGAAUCACAAGAUAGUGCUAAAUUUAAAAUCAAAGUGGAUGAAAAAGGACCAUUUUCAAAAAGAUGGAAACCAACAUUACAGAAAGCCCUUCAGACCUGGUUGUCCAGCCUGGAAGGAAAACCAUCUAUCGAGAAAUUAACUUUAAUGGCUAAUGAAUCCUGUGCAGAAGUGCAGAUUACACCAUCCAAAGCUCUAAAAGAAGUUUUAAAAAAUCAGACAACUAAAUUAGUACUUAAAGACAAAGAAGAUAAGGAAGUCACUGCGCAGAUUUGUCUGGACGAUUCACAUUCUGUUACUGUACCGCAAAAAUCCAUGCUGGAGGAUAAUGUUUCAUCACCAAAGGUGAA
rnacentral:lncRNA from 1 species